UCCAGACUCCUACGGGAGGCAGCAGUGAGGAAUAUUGGUCAAUGGGCGGAAGCCUGAACCAGCCAAGUCGCGUGAGGGAAUAAGGCCCUACGGGUCGUAAACCUCUUUUGCCGGGGAGCAAGCGUGCGUUCGUGAACGCGCGUCGAGAGUACCCGGAGAAAAAGCAUCGGCUAACUCCGUGCCAGCAGCCGCGGUAAUACGGAGGAUGCGAGCGUUAUCCGGAUUUAUUGGGUUUAAAGGGUGCGUAGGCGGCCGCUUAAGUCAGCGGUAAAAUUGCGGGGCUCAACCUCGUCGAGCCGUUGAAACUGGGUGCCUUGAGUGGGCGAGAAGUACGCGGAAUGCGUGGUGUAGCGGUGAAAUGCAUAGAUAUCACGCAGAACUCCGAUUGCGAAGGCAGCGUACCGGCGCCCAACUGACGCUGAAGCACGAAGGCGUGGGUAUCGAACAGGAUUAGAUACCCCCGUAUA
rnacentral:rRNA from 1 species